UACGUAGGGUGCAAGCGUUGUCCGGAAUUAUUGGGCGUAAAGAGCUCGUAGGCGGUUUGUCGCGUCUGCUGUGAAAACUCGGGGCUUAACUCCGGGCCUGCAGUGGGUACGGGCAGACUAGAGUGCGGUAGGGGAGACUGGAAUUUACGGUGUAGCGGUGAAAUGCGUAGAUAUCGUAAGGAAGACCAGUGGCGAAGGCGGGUCUCUGGACAGUUCCUGACGCUGAGGCACGAAGGCCAGGGGAGCAAACGGG
rnacentral:rRNA from 1 species